rnacentral:misc_RNA from 1 species
CAACCUUCAAGCCCUGGCUGCUUGGUAAUAGGGUAGUUUCUGCAGUGUUCUGCUGUAGGCCCUGAAAAUCUUUGGCGGGUAUGUUGUGAAUCCGAGCGUAGUAAAAUCAUUCUCGCUUAGGGGUAUAUGGUAUGUUUUCUAGCUAUUAAACCUACUAUAAUUUUAGAA